GAAAACUGGAGCUCACCUGGUUGAGAAGACGACCACCACCACCACCCGAGGGAGCAGAUGCUGCUUCACUGGUUCCGACGAAGCGAACGCAGGGGCACGGUGAGAGACCGAGAGAGCGACGAGGUGAGGGGAGAGACGAGAGAGUGACGAGGUGAGGUUGAGGGGCUGCCGACGCCGAGCUCGAGAGAGCAGAGAGACGAGGCUGGCUGGGGUUACCGGGAGGGGGGUGGUUGCACUCACAGUCUCGAUUAGUGGCUUAGGGUUCAUUCAAAUAGUAAGGG